CCUACGGGAGGCAGCAGUGAGGAAUAUUGGUCAAUGGACGAGAGUCUGAACCAGCCAAGUAGCGUGAAGGAUGACUGCCCUAUGGGUUGUAAACUUCUUUUAUAUGGGAAUAAAACGUUCCACGUGUGGGAUUUUGUAUGUACCAUAUGAAUAAGGAUCGGCUAACUCCGUGCCAGCAGCCGCGGUAAUACGGAGGAUCCGAGCGUUAUCCGGAUUUAUUGGGUUUAAAGGGAGCGUAGGUGGAUUGUUAAGUCAGUUGUGAAAGUUUGCGGCUCAACCGUAAAAUUGCAGUUGAAACUGGCAGUCUUGAGUACAGUAGAGGUGGGCGGAAUGCGUGGUGUAGCGGUGAAAUGCUUAGAGAGCACGAAGAACUCCGAUUGCGAAGGCAGUUCACUGGACUGCAACUGACACUGAGGCUCGAAAGUGUGGGUAUCAAACAGGAUUAGAUACCCGGGUAGUC
rnacentral:rRNA from 1 species